GAUGAACGCUAGCGGCAGGCUUAAUACAUGCAAGUCGAGGGGCAGCAUGACCGUAGCAAUACGGUUGAUGGCGACCGGCAAACGGGUGCGGAACACGUACACAACCUUCCUUCGAGCGGGGAAUAGCCCGGGGAAACCCGGAUUAAUACCCCAUAGUAUGGUGAAGAGGCAUCUCUUUACUAUUAAAGAUGUAUAACUUGAAGAUGGGUGUGCGGCUGAUUAGCUAGUUGGCGGGGUAAUGGCCCACCAAGGCAACGAUCAGUAACUUGGUGUGAAAGAACGACCAGUCACACGGGCACUGAGACACGGGCCCGACUCCUACGGGAGGCAGCAGUAAGGAAUAUUGGUCAAUGGACGAAAGUCUGAACCAGCCAUGCCGCGUGGAGGAUGAAGGUCCUCUGGAUUGUAAACUUCUUUUAUCUGGGACGAAAAAAGGCUUUUCCAGGCCGACUGACGGUACCAGAUGAAUAAGCACCGGCUAACUCCGUGCCAGCAGCCGCCGUAAAAC
rnacentral:rRNA from 1 species